GGCAGGCCUAACACAUGCAAGUCGAGGGGUAACAUAGAGUGCUUGCACUCUGAUGACGACCGGCGCACGGGUGAGUAACGCGUAUACAAUCUGCCUCAUACUAGGGGAUAGCCCAGAGAAAUUUGGAUUAAUACCCUAUAGUAUCUUUUAGAGUCAUCUCUUUAAGAUUAAAGGUUACGGUAUGAGAUGAGUAUGCGUUCUAUUAGUUAGUAGGUGAGGUAACGGCUCACCUAGACCACGAUAGAUAGGGGCCCUGAGAGGGGGAUCCCCCACACUGGUACUGAGACACGGACCAGACUCCUACGGGAGGCAGCAGUGAGGAAUAUUAGACAAUGGGCGAAAGCCUGAUCUAGCCAUGCCGCGUGCAGGAUGACGGCCCUAUGGGUUGUAAACUGCUUUUAUACAGGAAGAAAAAACUCUACGUGUAGAGUCUUGACGGUACUGUAAGAAUAAGGAUCGGCUAACUCCGUGCCAGCCGCCGCGGUAAUUC
rnacentral:rRNA from 1 species